CAACAUCUGGCCAGGGUAACGCACACGCUUUUGCUCAGCUAUUAUAUUGGGGUCGGCUUCCAGUAUAACCAUAUAUUGGUAUAAUGAUUAAGACCGGUGUCUAGAUGGCGCUGAUCUUGGUACGUGACUACAAGGAACGGAGCGUCAUUUUCAGGUCGUAAAACGGAACGUACUUGUCAGCAACAAUGUGGGAUUUUCUUUUUGUUUUUUUUUUACUUUUCGAGCCCAGUCAAAAUUCAUCGACAUUUUUGGAUUAUAAAGUUUUGGUCUGACGUUUUACCUGUAUGCAAGGGCACUGAAUAAAAGAAACAACAAAAAUA
rnacentral:lncRNA from 1 species